AAUUCCGUAGUGCAUUAACAUGUAAGUCGAGCGAACUGAUUAGAAACUUGCUUCUAUGACGUUAGCGGCGGACGGGUGAGUAACACGUGGGCAACCUGCCUGUAAGACUGGGAUAACUCCGGGAAACCGGAGCUUAUACCGGAUAACAUUUUCUCUUGCAUAAGAAAAAAUUGAAGGAUGGUUUCGGCUAUGACUUACGGAUGGGCCCGCGGUGCAUUAGCUAGUUGGUGAGGUAACGGCUCACCAAGGCAACGAUGCAGAGCCAACCUGAGAGGGUGAUCGGCCACACUGGGACUGAGACACGGCCCAAACUCCUACGGGAGGCAGCAGUAGGGAAUCUUCCGCAAUGGACGAAAGUCUGACGGAGCAACGCCGCGUGAGUGAUGAAGGCUUUCGGGUCGUAAAACUCUGUUGUUAGGGAAGAACAAGUACAAGAGUAACUGCUUGUACCUUGACGGUACCUAACCAGAAAGCCACGGCUAACUACGUGCCAGCAGCCGCGGUAAUACGUAGGUGGCAAGCGUUAUCCGGAAUUAUUGGGCGUAAAGCGCGCGCAGGCGGUUUCUUAAGUCUGAUGUGAAAGCCCACGGUUCAACCGUGGAGGGUCAUUGGAAACUGGGGAACUUGAGUGCAGAAGAGAAAAGAUCGAUGUYACGUGUAGCGGUGAAAUGCGUAGAGAUGUGGAGGAACACCAGUGGCGAAGGCGGCUU
rnacentral:rRNA from 1 species